rnacentral:lncRNA from 1 species
CAAUUUCUCUGAACUUGAAGAAUAAGAGAUGACGAUUUUAGGCCUGCGAUUUGGGGCCAACCGGUUAUCGACUAAAACCAAAAUCCCCAAAUAACAAAAUCCCAAUACCUAGUUCUUCACAAGUCGUCGCUAGCCAUUUUACCUCUGUCAGAUUAGUAGCAAGAGGGACAAUGCACUACCAUGCUUCCAAUUUGUCCAAUACAGGGUAACCGCUGGCUUCUACUUAUGGAAAACGAUGGGAAGAAUAUUUUCUGUCAUUGUGCCUUUGUUUACAAUAUUACACAUGUAUAUAUGAAAAAGCUAGGAAAGGCUAAGGUUCCAUUGGCCAGUCUAAGAGCUGAUGGCCGACACACUAAAACCAGGAAAAAAACUAUGCCCCUAAAUUAAGGACGUGUAAAAUAAUCACUAAAUCAAUCACAGCUAGCAGCCACCAAGUUAACCUCACAGCUAGCAGCCACCCAUACGUCCAAUACUCCCCCUCAAGUUGGAUCAAAGGGAUUAAUUGAUCCAAGCUUGGACAGCAAGCGUUGAAACUGAGUGGAAGCAAGAGACUUGGUGAAAACAUCAGCAAGUUGAUCAUGGCUCCGAGUGAAGGUGGUUUGAAUUACCUUGGACUGAACUUGUUCACGAACAUAGUGACAGUCAACUUCAAUGUGUUUGGUCCGUUCAUGGAACACGGGAUUGGAGGCAAUAUGCAUAGCUGCCUGAUUGUCACAAAAAAGAGACAUAGGUUUGUUGCUCAAAAAACCCAAGUCUGAGAUAAGGCUCUUGAGCCAAAUGAGUUCACAUGCAGUAGAAGCCAUGGCUCUAUACUCAGCUUCAGCACUUGAGCGAGCAAUUACAUUUUGCUUUUUGCUCUUCCAUGUCACGAUGUUUCCUCCAACAAAUGUGCAGUAGCCUAUAGUGGAUUUUCUAUCAAUAGCAUUCCCUGCCCAGUCAGCAUCGGUGUAUGCCAUGAUUUGAGUAUGACCAUUGUUCUUCAUGAUAAUUCCCCGACCAAUGGAGCCCUUGAGGUAUCUUAGAAUCCUUUUAACAACAUUUAAAUGAGCCUCAGUGGGUGCAUGCAUGAAUUGGCUUACAAGACUGACGGCGUAAGUUAUAACCGGUCUAGUAAUGGUCAGAUAUAUAAGCUUACCCACCAGUCUUUGAUAGUGACUUAUAUUGCUGAGAGGCUCUCCUUCCAAAUCCAACUUCAAUUUGCUAUCAAGAGGUGUACAGGCCGGUUUGCAAUCUAUCAUCUUCACUUCUUGAAGCAAGUCAAUCACAUACUUCCGUUGACUUAAAAACAGUCCCUUGGGAGAAGUAGCCAUUUCAAUCCCAAGGAAGUAUUUUAACACUCCUAAGUCUUUAAUAGCAAACUUCUGAUGAAGAGAAUGCUUAAGAGUGUUAAUCUCAUCAAUAUUAUCACCUGUGAUGAUAAUAUCAUCAACAUAGAUUAGAACAACUAAUUUGCCAACUGAUCCAGUUCGAACAAACAAGGAUGAAUCAGCAUGACUUCUCUUGAAACCAAACUUUUCAAGUACAGAGCUCAGCUUGGCAUACCAGGCACGGGGAGAUUGUUUCAAUCCAUAAAUGGAUUUGUGAAGCUUGCAAACCAUACCUGAAUUCUGUGCUUGUGGAUGACCAGGAGGUAAUUGCAUGUAAACUUCCUCUUCAAGGUCUCCAUGCAAAAAAGCAUUUUUUACAUCCAUUUGGUACAACGGCCACUCAUGAUUAAUUGCAACAGAUAACAAGACCCUCCCUGUACUCAUCUUAGCCACAGGAGCAAAUGUCUCCUUAUAAUCAACUCCAAACGUUUGAGUAAAACCGCGAGCCCCCAACCUUGCCUUGUGUCUUUCAAUUGAGCCAUCAGAAUUAAAUUUGGUUUUGUAGAUCCACCUACUGCCUACCCCCUUCUUUCCCUUUGGAAGCUGGACUACACUCCAGGUUUUAUUUUCAUCCAAGGCCUUGAGUUCUUCUUCCAUGGCUAGCCUCCAAACAUCUUGAAGAUUGGCUUCUUGAAAAUUCCUUGGUUCACUUUCAUUUGACAAUUUACUGAGAAAAGCUGCAUGGGAGUGAGAGACUUUGGAGUAAUUUACAAACUUGUGAAUUGGGUACCUUACAUUGAACGUUACAUAGUCUUGUAGCCUUGAUGGUGGAUGUCUAUCUCGAGUUGGAUUCCUCCGAGGUUGAGAUGGGAUCAUAGUAGGUUCAGCUCCACUCUCUUCUAUAGAUGAUGUGUCAUUGUCAUGAGGAACAACUUGUGCUUCGGAGGCUUCAGUUUCAUCUCCAAUAAUCACGUUGUCAAUAUUGGUUGCAUGAGAGUCACUGUUGUGAGGUACUGAAUGAACACAAUCACUUGUUUCGACUGGAUUUGGUAAUGGAAAGAAAUCCAGUAAGUGCUCCCCCUGACGAUUUUGAUCUGAUGGUUUGUUGAAAUAUGGUUUGAUCUCAUCAAACCUUACAUCUCUUGAAACAAAUAGCUUUCUGGAACAUGGAUUGUAACAUUUGUAACCUUUUUGAGUGGAGGAGUAACCCAUGAAAACACACUUAAUUGCCUUGGGAUCAAGCUUGUCUCGGUGAUGGGAUUGGAUAUGAGCAUAACAAGUGCAUCCAAAAAUUCUCAGAUGGGAAAGGUUAAUUUUUUUGUUUUGCAUGACCUCAUAUGGUGAUUUUGAAUCCAAAACCCGACUAGGCAGUCUGUUGAUGAGGUAGGUAGCUGUAAGAACUCCUUGAGACCAAAACCUCUUAGGCACAUUCAUUUGUAACAUUAGAGCUCUGGUUUUCUCAAGUAGAUCCCUAUUCUUCCUUUCGGCAAUUCCAUUUUGCUGAGGAGUACCUACACAACUUGUUUGAUGUAUAAUGCCAUGUGUGCUCAAAUAGUUAGUCAUAUUUUUGGAUGUAUAAUCAGUGCCAUUAUCAGACCUUAGUAUGUGAAUUUGAGACGAAAAAUGGUUCAUGACAAGAUUAUGAAAAUUCUUGAAAGCAUCCAUGACUUCACUUUUGAAUUUUAGGAGGUACAACCAAGUGACUCUUGAAAAAUCAUCAACAAAAGUAACUUAGUACCUAUAACCAUCAAAAGACUCUAGAGGUGCAGAUCCCCAAACAUCGGAGUGCACCAUCUCAAAAAGCUUGCUAGCUCUAGAUAUGGAAGAAUUAAAUGGAAGUCUAGUAAAUUUUGACAAAUGACAGAUUUCACAUACAGGUGAGGAUUUGCAUAAACUAGGGAAGAAAGUAGACAAAAAAAAAAAAUCUGAGGGAUGUGCUAGAUGUUGGUGCCACAACUGAUGUUGUAGAUUUGAACUGACUUGGAACCCCUUUGGAACAUUAAGGUCAUUUGAAAAAUAGUACAGCCCAUUUAGGUAGUGACCUUCACCAAUCAGCUUCUUGAUGGCUAGAUCCUGAAAAACAACAUUGUGAGGGGAGAAAAUUGCACGACAGUUGAGAGAAUUUGUAAUCCUUCCUACGGACAACAAUUGAAAAGGAAACGAUGGAACAUAUAAUGCUGUGAACUCAACACUAUCUGAAAUCAGUUUAACUUUCCCUCUACCUAGAAUGGGUACACUUCUACCAUUUGCUAUAGAAACUAGUGAUGGUUUAGUGUAGCUUUCAAAAUUGUAUAGCUUUGAAUAUUGAUUUGUCAUGUGAUCAGUGGCACCUGAGUCUAUAAUCCAAAAAUCAUGAGAAUGACUAACAUUUAGAGCAGUUGAAAGAGCACACAUAAUACCUGGAACAUCUCCUUGAGGUACACGAUUAGACUCAGCUAAGAAUCCUGCAAACUGCCCAAGGAGAGCAGUUUGAUUUUCUCCCGUCAAUACUUCGCUUGUGCUUCCUUUUUUGGUGUGAAGAUAGGCUGAGAAUUCAUUUAUCAAGUUAGCCGGAUUGGCUGUGAAGUUCAUCAGCCCAUCAAUUGAUGUAGCAGCAGCAGCAUGGUUUUUGGUUGUAUGUGAUCUGGUUUGUGAGCCCUUGUAGUCUCUUGAAGGCUUGUUCUCAAACUUUGGCUUCAACUCAGGGUGUAAUAUCCAGCAUCGAUCUAUUAGAUGUCCAAUAUUAUUGCAGUGUAAACACUUCAGAUCUGGCCUUUUUCCCUUGUACACUCUAUCUCCAGAUGACUUGUGGUUUGUCACAAAAGCUCUAGCCUCAGACACACUAGAUUUGAUGUCAACAUUCAUGACUUUCCUACGUACUUCUUCUCGCUGGACAGUAGUGCAAACACUUGCAAAUGAUGGAAGUUCGGGGUUCAUUAGAAUAUGGCUUCUAAGAUCUUCAUAUUCAGACCCCAAACUUGCAAGCAAAUGAAAAAUUUUGUCUUCCUCAGACCUUUUUAAUAGUAUGGCAGCAUCGAUAGUAUGUGGUCGAUACAUAUUUAGUUUGUUCCACAUAUUUUUCAUGCAACCGAGAUGAUGAACAAAGGAUUUAUCACCUUGUUGGAUACUUGCAAGAUUCCUCUUAAGUUGGAACACUCGAGCUGCAUUGUUUUGAUUGCCAUACAUAUCUUUGACUGCCUUCCAAAGGGAAAGAGAAGAUUCUGAAAAGCUGAAGAUCUCAGACAGCUUAGGAUCCAUGGAGUUAAGGAGCCACGACAUGACCAGUUGGUCUUUGCACAGCCAUGCUUCAUACUCCGGAGACGAAUCUUCAGGUGCCUCAAUGGUUCCAUUAACAAAUCCGAGUUUGGAUCUUCCUCCAAGGGCAAGAGUUACUGCUCUAGACCAUGGAAGAUAGUUAAACUCAUUUAACAACACAGAGCACAGUCGCUGGUUUGGGUUGACUUCAGCUUCUGGAAAACUAGAAGGAGGUGCUGUGAAGCUUUCAGCUUCAGAGCCAAAAAUAUUAUCUUCUGCCAUUAUUGAAUGGCAUGUACAGAAGAAACAAAGGAAAAAGAAAUGGAGAAUGGCCGGUUAAGGUUCCAGCUCUGAUACCAUAUGGAAAACGAUGGGAAGAAUAUUUUCUGUCAUUGUGCCUUUGUUUACAAUAUUACACAUGUAUAUAUGAAAAAGCUAGGAAAGGCUAAGGUUCCAUUGGCCAGUCUAAGAGCUGAUGGCCGACACACUAAAACCAGGAAAAAACUAUGCCCCUAAAUUAAGGACGUGUAAAAUAAUCACUAAAUCAAUCACAGCUAGCAGCCACCAAGCUAACCUCACAGCUAGCAGCCACCCAUACGUCCAAUAUACUCUAGGUUAAUUGCGCAUUUUAUAUUUCCCAGAUAUAUCCAAGUGGUUUAAUAAUUGUUGUCUCUUUAUAAUUUUCCACAGAUAUAACUUGUAGAAAAUCAAAAUUUGUAUCCUUUGUUCUUUCCAUAAUGUACAAGUUGAUCUUUUUUCAAUUUAAUCCUUUUGGUGUGAUUUGUGGCUUGAUUUUGUUGUUCUAUGUGAGCAUUAUAUUUUCUUCAUCAUCGUGAUUUUUGUGAUUUGUGGCCUACAGUAGUGAAGAAAAAAACCAAGUGUCACCACCAAGGACAACCAAUGUGAUUGAAAGGGGAAAUUGCUCGCCCUUGAGAGCUUUUGAGCGAUGAUCAUAUGAAGCGUGGUAAGGUAACUAAUAUACUUUUCAAAUUAGAAGUACUCUUAAAUUGUAUUUGUUGAAGGUGAUGAUGAUAUAUGGAGUUAAAAUUUUAUGUGUUUCUCAUAUGUGCUAAGUCUUGGGUUCCUUCUUUGGUUUACUGUUAUUAGCUCAAGAAUUUUGAGAAAUUGGAGUUAAUCCUUUGACUUAUUUUUCUUUUCAUAAAUAUUAUGAGGUUUAUUGCAGGUGAGCUAUAUACUUCUUAGUUUUCUAAGUUGUAAUUAGGAAGUAAUCUAUGAGGGUUAGUAGAAUGGGAUAUACUUCACUCUUUAUGUAAUCUAAGGGGAUGGAAGCCAUAAGAUCACUAAAUGAUUUACGGUAUGUUCAAGGGUCGAUUUUUAUGUAAUAAUUAUCUAACAUUGCACUCAUAGGACCUGCAUAAGAGAUUAGUUUGGGAUAGCCUUUCUGUUUAUUUACGUUGUUAUUAAAACGUCAUAGCCAAUGCUGGUAGAGGUUGGGAAAUGAUGUACUGGAAUAUAAACAUAAAUUCUGGUAGGGAUUUUAUAGCGUCUUUGAAAGUUUUGACUGCUUGCUUCUUCCGUUUGCCUUAAUCUUCUUAAAUCUAAUUUAUUUGUUGUGUUUCUCUAUUUUUCUUGUAGUGUCGUAAAAGACGGUUAAGAGUGGCUGUAAAAAUCAUAGACAAUGAUGUUUUGAUUAUGGACAAAACUUCUGGUUUCGAUACAGCUGUUGAAGAAGCACAAUGGGCAGUAAAUUCAACAUAUAAUUGAGGUAAAUUAUCAUGCUUAUUGUUUCUUAUGGUACUUAUUCAAAUCAUUUUUACUGCUCAUGCAUGGAUUUAUGUUCAUGUAAGUGGGUUUUGUUACUUUGAAGAUUGAUAUCUCUUUUAUUUGCUCAUGUAUUUAUCAUCUAUAUGGUUACUUUCCUUGAUUAGUAGGAGGUGAAGUAUUUGGCAUCAUUUUAUCAGCAUGAAAUUACUUUUGGAGUUUACCUGACACUUUGGUAUUUGUUGCAGUCUCGGAUAAUCGGUUACCUGCGGGCCUAAUCCAACUAUGUGGGGUGCCUCUGCCUAAGCCAUGGAGAAGCGGGAAAAUAGUUGUAAUGUCUGCACAACAUUGUAUAAAAUCCGAAUGAAUAGCAUUAGUGAAAUUUUG